GACGAACGCUGGCGGCGUGCUUAACACAUGCAAGUCGAACGAUGAAGCCUUUCGGGGUGGAUUAGUGGCGAACGGGUGAGUAACACGUGGGCAAUCUGCCCUGUACUUUGGGAUAAGCCUUGGAAACGAGGUCUAAUACCGGAUAUGACUGGCCUUCGCAUGGGGGUUGGUUGAAAGUUCUGGCGGUACAGGAUGAGCCCGCGGCCUAUCAGCUUGUUGGUGGGGUAAUGGCCUACCAAGGCGACGACGGGUAGCCGGCCUGAGAGGGCGACCGGCCACACUGGGACUGAGACACGGCCC
rnacentral:rRNA from 1 species